rnacentral:rRNA from 1 species
AUUGAACGCUGGCGGCAGGCCUAACACAUGCAAGUCGAGCGGUAGAGAGGUGCUUGCACCUCUUGAGAGCGGCGGACGGGUGAGUAAUGCCUAGGAAUCUGCCUGGUAGUGGGGGAUGACGCUCGGAAACGGACGCUAAUACCGCAUACGUCCUACGGGAGAAAGCAGGGGACCUUCGGGCCUUGCGCUAUCAGAUGAGCCUAGGUCGGAUUAGCUAGUUGGUGAGGUAAUGGCUCACCAAGGCGACGAUCCGUAACUGGUCUGAGAGGAUGAUCAGUCACACUGGAACUGAGACACGGUCCAGACUCCUACGGGAGGCAGCAGUGGGGAAUAUUGGACAAUGGGCGAAAGCCAGAUCCAGCCAUGCCGCGUGUGUGAAGAAGGUCUUCGGAUUGUAAAGCACUUUAAGUUGGGAGGAAGGGUCGUUACCUAAUACGUGACGAUUUUGACGUUACCGACAGAAUAAGCACCGGCUAACUCUGUGCCAGCAGCCGCAGUAACAC